rnacentral:tRNA from 1 species
UGCCCGAUCGUCUAAUGGUAGGACGCCGGAAUUUGGCUCCGGAAAUCUACGUUCGAGUCGUAGCCGGGCAU